rnacentral:rRNA from 1 species
GAUGAACGCUGGCGGCGUGCCUAAUACAUGCAAGUCGAGCGAACGGACGAGAAGCUUGCUUCUCUGAUGUUAGCGGCGGACGGGUGAGUAACACGUGGAUAACCUACCUAUAAGACUGGGAUAACUUCGGGAAACCGGAGCUAAUACCGGAUAAUAUUUUGAACCGCAUGGUUCAAAAGUGAAAGACGGUCUUGCUGUCACUUAUAGAUGGAUCCGCGCUGCAUUAGCUAGUUGGUAAGGUAACGGCUUACCAAGGCAACGAUGCAUAGCCGACCUGAGAGGGGUGGCGGCAAAACGGGAAAUGAAGCACGGGUCAGGAUCAAACGGGGAGGAGCAAGAGGGAAUUCUCCGGAAAGGGGAAAAGGCCGGAGGAGAAAAGCCGGGGGGAGUAAGAAGGGUCUAGGAAUGAAAAAACUUUGUUAUGGGGAAAAAAAAUAUGGGAAAGAAAUUGGGCAAUUCUGAAGGGAACAAAAUAAGAAAAACAGGAAAACCAAGGGG